UAAUUAUUGGGAAUAUUUUUCAAUAACAUAUUAAAGUGGCACAUUGGCAUGGUAUUAAGAGAUUAUUGAUUGUUAUCAAUUCUUGUUUGUUUAUCGAUAUAAUUGUUAUCAAAUUAAUUUUAUUACAAUAUUCAACGUUAUCUUACCAGGAUUUGACAACACAUCGACGACAUUUUGUAAAAUCUCACGCCGCUCCUUUUUGCUGGCGGUUUGAAUUCGAUUAGUAUUCCACGUGACAGACUUACCUCGACAUCCGCCAUAUUUCUUCAAAAACCGGACUGACUAUCAGCGCCACGUUUCCUUAUUUUGUAAUCACGCGUUAGAUGAAGUUGUCUACAUAUGAACUCAGUAUGAAAGUUGCCAGAAACGGCGAAGCUCCAGAAAAGAGAUUGCACGCAUUUUGUCUUUAAUCAAUGUGAAUCGAUGGAGGAUGGUAUGGGGGUUGUUGGGGAUGUUGAAAAGUAAAAAAAAAAAAGA